rnacentral:tRNA from 2 species
GAGGACGUAGCUCAGAUGGAAGAGCACCGGAUCCAAGUCCGGGGGUCGUGGGUUCGAUUCCCGCCGUUUUCA